UGAGGCAGGAGAAUUGCUUGAACCCAGGAGAUGGAGGUUGCAGUGAGCCGAGAUCAUGCCACUGUACUCCAGCCUGGGUGACAGAGUGAGACUCCAUCUC
rnacentral:miRNA from 1 species